GAGCGGCCGAUGUCUGAUUAGCUAGUUGGUGAGGUAAAGGCUUACCAAGGCUUCGAUCAGUAGCUGGUCUGAGAGGACGACCAGCCACACUGGGACUGAGACACGGCCCAGACUCCUACGGGAGGCAGCAGUGGGGAAUUUUGGACAAUGGGGGAAACCCUGAUCCAGCCAUGCCGCGUGAGUGAAGAAGGCCUUCGGGUUGUAAAGCUCUUUCAGCCGGAACGAAAAGGUUACGGUUAAUACCCGUGACUAAUGACGGUACCGGAAGAAGAAGCACCGGCUAACUACGUGCCAGCAGCCGCGGUAAUACGUAGGGUGCGAGCGUUAAUCGGAAUUACUGGGCGUAAAGCGUGCGCAGGCGGUUUUGUAAGUCAGAUGUGAAAUCCCCGGGCUCAACCUGGGAACU
rnacentral:rRNA from 1 species